GCGAGCCACAUGUAGAGAAAUUUGCACGUGUGGUUCUGGCUGGGGACCCCGGUAUACCGCAC
rnacentral:ncRNA from 1 species